AUAUUGGGCCUGAGCCAAAGUCCAUUGAAGACAAUGGGCAACCUUCUAUUGACCUCAGUGAGCUUUGGUUCAGGCCCAUUAGAAAU
rnacentral:pre_miRNA from 1 species